UACGUAGGGUGCGAGCGUUAAUCGGAAUUACUGGGCGUAAAGCGUGCGCAGGCGGUUCGUUGUGUCGGCGGUGAAAGCCCCGGGCUCAACCUGGGAAUGGCCGUUGAAACUGGCGAACUGGAGUGUGGCAGAGGGGGGUGGAAUUCCGCGUGUAGCAGUGAAAUGCGUAGAGAUCGUGAGGAAGACCAACGGCGAAGGCAGCUCUCUGGACAAUUCCUGACGCUCAGGCACGAAGGCCAGGGGAGCAAACGGG
rnacentral:rRNA from 1 species